CUGACAAGCUAUGGUUCCCUCAGAAGGGCUGAGUGACCUCAGCUGAAUUUACGUUCAAUGUCACCAUUCAGGUAACAGGUCUUGCGUGCAUCUUGUCCAGGAUGGAAGUAGCUCCGUGGCGCCGAAGCAUUUAGAGUCAAGGAGGAGUGAUUUUAAGAAAGAGAGCUUCGCCCCAGUGUCCACUGACAGAGGAAUGGAUAAAGAAGAUGUGGUACAUGUAUGCAAUGGAAUACUACUCAGCCAUAAAAAAGAAUGACAUCAUGCCAUUUGCAGCCACAUGGAUGGACCUAGGGAUUAUCGACUCUAUGUGAAGUAAGUCAGAUAGAAAUACAACCAUCAUAUGAUAUCACUUAUAUGUGGAACCCAAAAAAAGAUACAAAUGAACUUAUUUACAACACAGAGAUACACCCACAGACAUGGAAAACAAACUUAGGGGACAAGGGGAGAUGAAUUAGGGGUUUGGGAUGAGCAGAUACACACUACAGUACAUAAAAUAGAUAGGUAACAAGGACUGCCUGUACGGCACAGGGAAACCCACUCAACACCUUGUCAUAAUCUAUAUGGGGAAAGAAUCUUGAAAAA
rnacentral:lncRNA from 1 species